CUGUUUUGUAAACUGACAUUCCUGAGAUGGGGAAUGUUGUUAAUGACACCCUCACUUCAGCACUGGAAAGUUUGCUGAAGAUGCCCACGAAACUAUAUCAUAUUUCUGAUGUGAGGAACUCAGUAUUACACUGCUGAGGGCUUUUACUUCCCAUUUUGCAGAUGGAGAGGCUAAGACCUAGUAAGAGGAAUCCCAGGGGACCCAGCAUGGAGCUCCAUCCACUGUGCACUGAAAACAUCAAACCGGGGGCUGCCGAGGUGUAUCCCUGCACACGUCUCAUCUGUCGGAGAAGCUCAGUGAGUGGUGGGAACCUGCAGCAGUUCCGUGACAGAUUGUGUGCUGCCAUGUGGUGGGUAGAACCACCCCGCCUAGCAGAGUGCAUGGUGCUCCGUGACCUGCCUGGGUCUGCUGGCCUGGCGAGUCUUGCAGCGUGGACUGUGUGUUGUAACUCCCAUGGAGGUGGCUGUGUGAAGGGGGAAAGCACCACAUAGAGGGUUACAGAGCAGCUCAAGGAGGUGCCCUUGAGCCAGGUGAGAAAACAGCUGCUGGCAGCCGCCUCAACGGGUUGAGAAAACAUCUUUAUUUAAGAACUGCCUGCUACCAGAGUCAAUAAAUAGCUACCAUUACAAGAACUACAAGAGCAAAAUCGGGUCCAGUGGGGUGGCUCCGUUUGAACAGAAUCCUUCAAGUCAGUGAUCCAGCGAAGGCCUAGCAUUGCCAGUUCCUGAGCUCUAAGCUACGAAGGUCCCAACAUGGGUGGUAAGCUGGCAUAAGGUGCAGCCCAUCUAAGGCCCAAAAUGCCUUAC
rnacentral:lncRNA from 1 species